AUUGAACGCUGGCGGCAGGCCUAACACAUGCAAGUCGAGCGGAUGAAGGGAGCUUGCUCCUGGAUUCAGCGGCGGACGGGCGAGUAAUGCAUAGGAAUAUGCCUGGCAGUGGGGGAUAACGUCAGGUCACGGGCGCUAAUACAGCAUACGUCAUGAGGGUGAAAGUGGGGGAUCUUCGGACAUCAAGCUAUCAGAUGAGACUAGGUCGGAUUAGCUAGUUGGUGGGGUAAAGGCCUACCAAGGCGACGAUCCGUAGCUGAUCUGAGAGGAUGAUCAGUCACACUGGAACUGAGACACGGUCCAGACUCCUACGGGAGGCAGCAGUGGGGAAUAUUGGACAAUGGGCGAAAGCCUGAUCCAGCCAUGCCGCGUGUGUGAAGAAGGUCUUCGGAUUGUAAAGCACUUUAAGUUGGGAAGAAGAGCAGUAAGUUAAUACCUUGCUGUUUUGACGUUACCAACAGAAUAAGCACCGGCUAACUUCGUG
rnacentral:rRNA from 1 species